CAGGCAUAAUGGCUUAUCCACACCUCCAGGCCCAGUUGAAGGUCAAGGCUGCGCCGUGGUACACUUUCAGCUUGUGUCAGCUAGCUGUUGUCUGUGAACUGCCAAGAAGGAAUGUCCCACCCUCAGUGGCAGGAGACAAGGAGGAGGAAGACAAGGAGAAGCCAGCAUACCUCCAGGAAGUAGUACGCACCUUCCAAGCAUUCCGCCCAGGAGCAGUUGGCCUGGGCCUCCCUCCCUGGCAAAGGAUGCAAUCUGUUAUCAGCAGACAAGGACAACAGCUGAAGCAAGGCCAAGAUUCAUGUUAUGCCUUUUACAGCUGAUUCCAAAAACAACCCAAGGACGAUGAUUCAAACUGCUGCACUUUCUUCAGGAACUUUCUUAUCGACUCGCUCUCUCAGUCUCCGUCCAAUCUCAUUUGCUGAGGACUGACAAAAUCACAUGUAGUGGCAUAUCCGAAUAAAGGCUAGGAUUUGGUCCAAUCAUGUCAAGAUAUCCAUGAAGGAAUGUUCCAACAGACCCGAGAGUGAAGGCUGUUAGCAGUCAACUUAAACUUCAGGUUGGAGCCUCAAGAUCUGACAUACUUCUCAAGUGGUUACAGAAUGGCCGACAGUGCAAUUGAAAGGCCCUGCAUAAACAUCUCCAUCGCCACUGUCCGCGUCGAGAGAUGACACUCCCUACUUGGGCAGUCAGUGUGCUGCUACAGUCUCAAGAAUUUAAAUGGACAGCAGAUUUGGAAUAAAGAGCCAUUCUCCAUACAUGCCAAAUACUUUUGGCAUUUGAAGCUUUUGACUCUGUUUUAACUUUUGUAAAAUAAUUUCAAAAAGCAAGCGCACGUUUGUGUUGUAAAUAGAAGAAAACUUUAGAAUAUAGGUUUUUUCUCUUAUGCAUUCAGCUGUUAAAUGAAAUCUGGUCUUUAAUUUGAAUUUAUAAAUAGCUGAGACAGUUUCCCUUUCAACAAUGUGCAACCUGACUGUGUUUUAACAUUUUAUAAUGCCCGCUGAGAUCUGAUAAUGCCCAAUGCGUAAAAAAAUGCUCUGGCACCUGGAUACGAGACAGUUUGAUCCUUCCUGUUGGUCAAGAGUCUGCGUGGGAUGGGGCAUACAGAACGUGCCACGUGCACACUAAGUCCAUGAUUAAUUGCAGAUUCUGCUGGACAACUUGUACAGGGAAUAUAUUGGCAAUAUGUUUCGGAAAAUGAAAGUAAAUUUCUAGAAAAAAAAAUUGCUGGAAAUCUAUCCAACCAAGCACACAUUUAUUCCCUUAUCAAAUGCUUUAUAUGAGAGAAUGCGUAUUGCUUGUUUAACCACCAGCUUUGCAUAUGCAGACAAACAUGCUUCCCGGGAGAAGACUGAAGUCAUUAUGAAGAUAAACAAGAUACGCCAAGGAAACGCUUCUUAACAAGGCACUGCCUACGCAUGCUGUCAAGGACUUUCCAAACGAAUGGAAAAAGAUGUGCUUCCUUUUGUUGGGCCAAAACCUUGUUUGGUUAGUUGGACAGUCCUUUCCGUCGGAUGCAUUUUCCCUUCGGUGAACCGGUAGUUGAAACUCUAGUAGAAUAAGUUAGUCGUGCCAUGACGCAUGAGCAAUUCUGCCAUGUUUUCCUUUUUACAGGCGAUGACGUGUGUAGCGACUCUCCCUUCCAGUUGAAUUUUCCUAUUAAUCUCUAUGGUGCUGAGAAAAUGCAGGAAAAAAAGAUCAAGGGCUUCAAGGGCAGUCUUCUCAUUUCUAGAGAAUUUCCUUGGCAGCACUUCACUGCAUUUUGGGGGGGUCCCACUGAGCCCGUUUGUACCAAGCGUGGAUGGUUUUUAUUUGCUUGUAUAGCAUGCAAGAAAGCUAGUGCAGCCUUGAAGUCCCCAAAACGCUGUUUUGGAAUGCAAGAUCAGCCACCCGCAGAAAGAAUACCUCCCUGGUGUCUUUUCACCGUACAAACAAUGCAGCCUACCUGCGCUAAUGACCAAAUGCGUCGGUAGGUUCCAUCACGCAACAAGAUUCAACAUCAUAGCCAAUUCAAGUUACACAUAAGCAUUUUUAGAAGGCACAAUCUAAAGCCAAGGUUAUUGCUGAGAAGAGUGGCAUCCUGACGAGUCAGCUUCUGCCAUUCCUAGAAGGAACAUUCCUCUUUUCUCCUUCCCUGGACUCAAGGGUAGGCAAUCUCAGCAUGCAUUAUCACAAGCCAAACACUGACCUUGACACUUGGCAAUAGCUGGGAAAUCCUUACAAUAGCCAAGUACACACCAAUGCCCGCAGUGGGUUUCUUGAAUGGACAACGUCAAUCAGUCACAUGUCGUGCAGCGGCACAGCUUAUUGUCAGUUCUGACAAAUUUAUCAGAGUGCGGCGCAUAUGUGCAACCAAACAGGGAUGGACAGCUGCCAUAUUGGUUUCAAAGAAAUGCAAAUGUACAGUACAAAUUACGUCUGGUGUAAUUCAGCAAACCAGAAUUAGAAUCCAUUACUUCAGCGGCGCUACGCUCUUGCACAGGUGGUAUGCAUGCAUUAAACAGGAUAUUGCAAGAUGCCAAAUGCAACCAUGUGUCAAGGUCAUGAAUGCGCCUGUGAGUGCAGUACUACUGCAGUUUUGAUGUUUUCUCGGAUGAGUCUAUACAAGAAAAUCAGUUAUGAGUGCCAAAAUAAAGUGUUUUGAAACGGGAAUAUAAAAGCAGUGACUGAAACUUUGAAACAAGGUGUAGUCAUUUCUUCACAGUAUUGAGGCUUACUGUAUCUCAGAGAAAUUAAAAGGUAAAACGAACUUGUAUGGAAAAACAUUUCCAAAAAAUAGCGUCGUGCCCAAGAACACAGAUUUGGGUCCCUGUUGGGGUUUUACCCUCUAUUUCAUUGCAGUGAAUUGGACGCCAUAACAAUUGGAUCGUGGUGUUUUUCUGUCCAGAAGGUGUCAGCAAUACAUCCCUGUUGAGCAAGAGUUAUCGUGUCAUAUUUGUCUUGUACGUUUUAUGCACAGGGUCACGCCAUACUUUAUAUUUUAUCAUUGUAGAUCACUGAUUGACUCUGGAAGAGAUCAGAUAUCGCUCUAAUACAGUGAUAAGAUCAAGUAAACCAGUUCGAAGCAUAUUUGUCCUGACAUCCUGCAUGCGUCUCCUCACUUGGAUUGAGCAGAUCACUAGGGUGCUGAUUAUCAUUCUUUGUUAAUAAUAGGUCACUGGUAACCUGUCAGAUAUCACCUUUGUUUAGCAGUGUUGUAUUCAAGUCCAUCACAAGUCCCCGUAAGUCCAUCACA